UUGCUUCUCUUGAGAGCGGCGGACGGGUGAGUAAUGCCUAGGAAUCUGCCUGGUAGUGGGGGAUAACGUUCGGAAACGGACGCUAAUACCGCAUACGUCCUACGGGAGAAAGCAGGGGACCUUCGGGCCUUGCGCUAUCAGAUGAGCCUAGGUCGGAUUAGCUAGUUGGUGGGGUAAUGGCUCACCAAGGCGACGAUCCGUAACUGGUCUGAGAGGAUGAUCAGUCACACUGGAACUGAGACACGGUCCAGACUCCUACGGGAGGCAGCAGUGGGGAAUAUUGGACAAUGGGCGAAAGCCUGAUCCAGCCAUGCCGCGUGUGUGAAGAAGGUCUUCGGAUUGUAAAGCACUUUAAGUUGGGAGGAAGGGUUGUAGAUUAAUACUCUGCAAUUUUGACGUUACCGACAGAAUAAGCACCGGCUAACUCUGUGCCAGCAGCCGCGGUAAUACAGAGGGUGCAAGCGUUAAUCGGAAUUACUGGGCGUAAAGCGCGCGUAGGUGGUUUGUUAAGUUGGAUGUGAAAUCCCCGGGCUCAACCUGGGAACUGCAUUCAAAACUGACUGACUAGAGUAUGGUAGAGGGUGGUGGAAUUUCCUGUGUAGCGGUGAAAUGCGUAGAUAUAGGAAGGAACACCAGUGGCGAAGGCGACCACCUGGACUAAUACUGACACUGAGGUGCGAAAGCGUGGGGAGCAAACAGGAUUAGAUACCCUG
rnacentral:rRNA from 1 species